CAGCCAAAUAAUGCUCAACCCAAGAAUGUACAGCCCAAUAAUUGGCGUCCAUGAUGUACGUCUAUUAUUGGGUCGUGUAUUAUUGGGUUGAGCAUUCUCGGUCCGCGCAGGCUUGGUCCGGGGCGAUAAUACGAAGCCACUCUUUUCACAGGGCAAUAAUGUACGACCCAAUAAUACGCGUCCACUAAUUUGAGUCCUUGGCUUUCAAAUAUUGGGCUGCGCAUUAUUGGCACACGUCGAGAAAGCCCGACCCAAUAAUGUACGACCCAAUAAUAGGAAGCCAAAAACCAGAGACAUUCUUUUUUUUAAGAGAGCUGUCAAAAUUAGUAGGGACGUUCUGACUCGAGCUCGUGACAGCUUAAAAAUAAUCGGUUUUUUCUAGUGACAUCUUUCAGUGACAUUGACAGUAUUGACACUUGUUUGGUUUACAAUUUGUUAUAAUUUUUUAAUUUUUUGCAACAAAAGUCCUAAUAUUUUUCCGUACUUAAUGUCUUCAUUAUAUACAAGUAUGCAAGAAAUCAUGGCAAGAGAUCCUUAAUCGUUUUGGAAUUAAAUGAAUUCUAAAAGCAGUAGAGGUAGGUACGGAAAAAAUAUUAAUUAAUGGAGAACCUUUGUCCGGUGAACAAGUAAUGAAUUUGCUAGGUUUUUUCACUCCGUGGUCAGCGUGGAGAAGCCAAAGUUGGAGACUACAUGAGGCACAGACAGCAGUAUGUAGAUUAUGAAGGGCACAGAUUGAAACCAGCAGUGACAUGGGCCAUUUGUUCAAUAGAAUAUCUUGGUUUAUCGAAAUUGGCUGAGACAGCAAGGUGCAGGUCUCUGGAAAAUAUAUUAGGGAGCUGAUACAGGCAGUGUUGGCCGAAACGUUAAUGCAAUUAACCAUUAACCAGUACAAACUGAACCGUAAACUGUAACUGUCCGUUACGGUUUACGGUUCAAUUUGUACUGGUUAAUGGUUAAUUGCAAUUAACGUUCGGCCAACACUGGAUACAGGCAGCCAGAAUGAGUCUCUGCUGAGUCGCCGUCUGACGUCUUCGUGCCAGGUGCCAGUCGCCAGUUGCAGGGGAAGAUGCGAAUAGUUAUACAAGCGAGCAUGAUGACGUCUCUCAAAAACUGAUAGACACAAUACUCUUACUCGCCUUGUUACCAGAGGCAACCUCCAGCAGCAGUGGGACCAGCGCGGCCCCCUGCGCCCCCGCCCCGUCCCUCGCCCCUGCAGAGCGGACACCAGCGCCCUCUACAACUCUACCGGCGCCCGCCGUGUCUCCACCUUCUUCAAAAACGACAACCGGUGUUAGAUCUCCAAUUGACAUGACAAUACGAUGGACCUAGCUAGGCUAACAUUUUUAUUUUACCUUUUUAUCUCUGUAUAUUCCCAAGUCCCCAAGGGCACAGAUGGGAAUAUCAUAAUAUAGAUUACUCCCAUCCCCGUCCGCGCCCCCGCCUGAUGUGUGGCGGCCGUCACGUGAAGCCUUGACAAAUGUGAAUACAACCGUUGCCGCCAUAACAAUAAAUACUAAAAACAAUAGAUAAUGGUACGGAACCCUUCGUGCGCGAGUCCGACUCUCACUCUCACUUUCACGACUUUUCUUUCUAAGAUUAUUUUGAUUGGUUUGUCUACCAAUUAAUUUCUGUAUAAAUCAGUACCUAUAACAAAAUUCUUGCCCUUUUUAUUUCCCAAUUUAUAAUCUAAUUAUAGUCUUCAUCUUCUCAAAUCAUUUUUUAGCCUAAGAAUACAUUAUAAACCUAAGUAAUCUGUUAAACAAAAACCAUUGUCUUUAUUGUGACGGGCUCUAAGCUUCCAACUUGGGCACGUGGCAAAGCAACAAUGCCGUUUAAAAAGCAACUGAAUCGCGAUAGUACUAUAGUUCAAAUCUUUUUGACAGCUCAUUCAAGAUAACACGGUUGCGUAAUGUGGAUGGUUCGGUCGACCACCCCGAUAUAGGCGAGAAUACACAGCGCUCGUAAGAUUUCAACUUUAGUACUAUCGCGAUUCAGUUGCUUAUUAAACGGCAAUGUUGCUUUGCCACGUGCCAAAGUUGGAAGCUUGGAGCCCGUUACAAUAGAGACAAUGGCUUUUGUUUAUAGAUCCAAUCAUAUCAACUGAGCUAAUGCACUCACCUGUACUAACAAUGGCAUCGUAUUAUUACAAUACUAUUAUCCGCUUUUGUUCUCGUAGCCGCCACGCCAACUAGUUACUUACAAAAUAAGUUAGAAGUGCAUUGCAUGUAUAUUCAAUUUUCACAUCACCAAUUCGAAAAAGGGUUUUUUCUUCCCUGCUAGGAGGGAUCAAAGUGGCACUUUUCUUCCCUGCUAGGAGGGAUCAAAGUAACACUUUUCUGUUCUAGGACACUAUUUAAAAACAAUUGCACAUUAUUUUUUUAGCUUAAAUAAUAUUUUUAAACAUCAUAAUUACCUCAUAGGUGAUGUGAAAAGCAGUAUGUGUCACAUGGUAGCAAAAUUAUUUCCAUCUUGGGCGUAACACACUUGAAUCCCUCACUACGCUCAGGAUUCUACUUUAGAAUCUUCGUUACUCUCGGGAUUCUAUUAUAGAAACCUUCGCUUCGUUUAAGAUUCAAUGUACGCCCUCGCCGUAAAUAUGUCAUUUUGCUCCCUUGUAACACAAUCUACUAUUUUAACCUUAUUCCUUGUUGAAUGGGGUUAAAAUGGUCUAAAAUAAAAACAUGUUGUAACAUAUGGUUUUCUACAGAGUGCAUUCGUUUUGGGUGUCGACGGUUGUAAAAUGCAAAUAAAGUUAUGUUAGCCAUUAUUUAGUUAGUGUAUUUUGUAGCCUAUUUAAAAAAUAGAGUCGUUAAUCUAUACUAACAUAUCAAGGCGGUUAUAAUCUGCUUUUACUACGAGGUAGUUAUCCUAAUUUGUGGUUUACCAC